rnacentral:rRNA from 1 species
UACGUAGGUGGCAAGCGUUGUCCGGAAUUACUGGGCGUAAAGAGCGCGCAGGCGGUCGUUCAAGUCGCGUGUGAAAGCCCCCGGCUCAACUGGGGAGGGUCACGCGAUACUGAUCGACUCGAAGGCAGGAGAGGGUAGUGGAAUUCCCGGUGUAGUGGUGAAAUGCGUAGAUAUCGGAAGGAACACCAGUGGCGAAGGCGACUACCUGGCCUGUUCUUGACGCUGAGGCGCGAAAGCUAGGGGAGCAAACGGGAUUAGAAACCCCCGUAGUCC